UCAUACUCCUUCACCAGUAGUUUAAUGGCUCUGGUUUCCUCUGCUUUUGGUUCCCUUUGCUCUUCUGUCAACCCACUUACAUUCCAGUUUUAGGUGGGAAAAUCCCUUUAACAGACCAGUGACGCAGACUUAAACUGGGAAUGACGCAGCAUAUUUGUUUAACACGUCUUUGUUCUUUAUUUACCAACGUACAAAGGACUUAUUUGCUCUAAGCUGACAAACACACUAGUAGCUGAGAGCCAAACUGAUCAAUAAUAAGCGACAGGCAACAGUCCAGAUACAGCAACAGACUUUGAGGGUAAAAAGUCGUACUAGUGAGGCAGUGAAUGUGGAAACAUUCUCCUACAAUGGAGGAAUCUGCAACAGGAAAAAGACAACAUGACACAAGCAUUGUGGAAAGUAUGGAACCAGCAGAACUGGCUAGCCAGGACUCUGUGACCAAAGUCCAGAUGGCACUUGGACAUGACUUACCUGACGGUACAGCUAUGCCAGAGAAUAUGGAAGAUAUCAUGGAGGAAGCACAAAUCCUACCGUUGGACAGUAGUGGACAGGACUUUGCUAAUGCAGGGAUGAAGGAAGAACCUGUUCCUUAUGAUUGCAAACAGGACAGGAGAAAAUCCACCCAAAGAAGAACAGCUGGAAGGAGCCCCAGUUUUAAGUCUCGCUUUUGCGUGCUUUUAUGAAAAGUGCUGUACCAUUUGUAUUGAAGGAAGAAUUUGAAUGGAACCGUACAAUUCCAUCGGAGUCACCAUGAAGAGGACCGAGUGUAAAUGAUUUAGAAGCUAGUUUCCCUGCCACUGGUGUACAGUUGUUUACCCUGCAUGGACAUUAGUGACUUCACCCAACAAGCCAAGCAUCUCCUACUGAGUUCAUCUUAAGUUAGAAGGAGGUGGAAACAGGAGAUGGCGGUAAACACUGGUUUUUGAGAGUUCCAUAGUGAUAAUUUGGCAGUCAGAGGAAGGAAGCUGUGGCUGUAGAAGGACUGUAUCUGUAUCUAUAUAGCCGGUAUAACCGCCCUUCGGCGUAACACACCAGCUUCGCAGGCAAGUGGCGCGACAGCAGCUGGUCAUAUUACACUGAAGGACCCAUCACACCUAACUUUAGCACAUCUAUCUGCAAGCGUUCUUUAAAACAAUCCAGAGAAGAUGCACCUACUGUGCUUAGUGAUAACAAAUUCCACUCUACGAUAGUUCUGGGAAAAUACAAAUUUUUGGACACAUCAAUCCUAGGUUGGUAACUCUGGUACUUGAAGUCAUGGACUUUGAGACAGUACUGGUAACUGAACAGUAUAAUGAUGUGAGUUAGAAGAAAACCUGGUAUAAUGCUAAAAGGCUCUCAAUGGAGGGACAAGUAGUUAAGUUUCAAUUUGAAAAAAAAACAUGCUUACCUUUACUUAGUGUACAGAGUGUACACCAUUUCUACAAUAACAUAAUGUGUACAUAUGGUUAAGAGAUGGAUAGGAUACACCAGAUUUUAAGUGAUCAAUGCUUCAGUAUACCAAAGACAGCAAACAAAAAUUAAGAUAAAAAGAGAGUACAAAUAGUACAGUUCCUUGUAAGAACCACUGUUUAUUUUUAUAAACAAUUAAAGUUUUACAAUAGAAAAUAAGGCAAACUAUCAUAAAACCAUUUUGUAGUCAUUAAAACAAUCCUAAAUCAGUAAAAUGUCUAGAAAUACACAGAUUACAAAUGAAGCGGUAUUGUGUCUGAUACAAUAUGAUUUUAUGGGGAAAAUCAGUGAUUUAAUUAUUGCAAAGAAGACUCUGACGUCUUAAAUAGCAUAUUUAGCGCAAAUGUUACAUUUUGCUGUAUGUCUAACAAGAUAGUGAUAAGUG